UACGUAGGGGGCAAGCGUUGUCCGGAAUCAUUGGGCGUAAAGCGCGUGUAGGCGGUCCGGUAUGUCGGCUGUGAAAGUCCAGGGCUCAACCCUGGGAUGCCGGUCGAUACUGCCGGACUAGAGUUCGGAAGAGGCGAGUGGAAUUCCCGGUGUAGCGGUGAAAUGCGCAGAUAUCGGGAGGAACACCUAUGGCGAAGGCAGCUCGCUGGGACGUUACUGACGCUGAGACGCGAAAGCGUGGGGAGCAAACAGG
rnacentral:rRNA from 1 species